GUUAAUUAAACAAUUUGGUGUUUAAUAGAACCUCUGUUGCACUACGCGGUUGCUAACCUCUCUGUUAAGGAGAAAGUAAGAGCAUGCAUCGGGACUGAGUUCAUGUCGGUGGUGUGAAGAGCGUGAAACUGACUCAGGGACCGAUGACGUUACGGCCGUAGUGCUCCGUCGAUCAAUGCGGCGGCGAACGAAAGUCGGUGUGCUAGAGAUACCGCGAGCCAAUUAUAGCAGAUGCUACACUAGUCCGAUCCUAGCACCACAUUCAAGAAGGUUUCGUGUGUGUUUCAACGUCUACUAGACACACAACCUUGAGUGGAGAUCACUGUGUUCGGAGAUUCUAAGUGAGGACUUCCACUAAACAUCGGGCGGUCGGAUGAUGCUGUAUCGGGCAUUGCUGGCGAUCUUCCCAACUCUUCUGACAAUUCUACACUUGCCUCAAGCAACAUCGCAGAUCCACAAUGGUCUGAGCAGACGUGAACUGCUUGACCAGAUAUUGAAGAAUUCAUCACAUGAUCCCAGAAUUCCUCCUGAUUACGAAAGAGACCAGCCGACGAAUGUUACCCUCCAGAUCCACAUACUCAGCUUCGAUUCCAUCAACGAAGGGUCUAUGGAUUAUUCAAUCAACAUAUACCUCCGUGAGAAAUGGAUCGACAGUCGGCUGGCUUUCAUGAACUAUACAAAAUCUGAUUGGCUCGAACUGGAUACCCGGAUGUUAGAUCAGGUGUGGGUCCCUGAUGUAUAUUUCCAGAAUGAAAAGAAGGCUGCUUUCCACAAUAUUACUGUACCCAACAGACUCAUACAUCUUUACAGGAACGGCACAGUUAAUUACAGUCUAAGGCUGUCCAUGACGCUGAGCUGUCACAUGUUCCUGGACCGCUACCCCAUGGACUCACAGAGUUGUCCCAUCAUCAUCCAAAGUUACACAUACACAACAGAUAACGUGGUGUUCUCCUGGACUCCCUUCAACCCUAUAACAACCAACACGAACAUGGAGCUACCGCAGUUCAACUUCCAGAAGUAUGAGAUAGUGGAGUGCCGGGACGUAUAUGAAAAAAGAUUCGCCUGCAUAAUGGCCAACUUCAAACUAAAACGAGACAUGGGCUAUUUCAUCCUUCAAGUGUACGUGCCCAGUGUUCUAAUAGUAAUCCUGUCAUGGAUAUCUUUCUGGAUAGACAUUGGAGCUGUCCCUGCUCGAAUUUCAUUGGGCGUCCUCACCGUGCUCACUAUGACAACGCAGAGUUCCGGUGCACAGUCGUCACUUCCGCGUGUCUCGUAUGUCAAGGCUAUCGAUGUCUGGAUGUCGAUAUGCUUGUUCUUCGUCUUUACAGCUCUACUCGAGUAUGCAUAUGUUAAUGUACAAACACGACGGGCUCAAAACCACCCAGAAAGAUAUAAAACUAAAACCAAGUCACCCGAUACCAGCAGAUUACAGCCAUCAGAAAGUGACAGAGAAACAGCUACCACGGUACGGAAGUCAUUUAUAGCAGCGCGUCAGCUGGACAAAUUUUCACGAUGGAUGUUCCCCCUGAUGUUCAUCCUUUUCAAUAUAUUGUAUUGGUGUAUAUACCUGCACGUUGACUGAAAAACGUUAUAUGUGUCUUGAAUUUACAUUGGACUGUUUUCACUUUUGACUGAUGUACAAUGUAUGCACAGUGUUGGCGACUGAAUAACGUCAUUUCAUGACACAUUUUAUGAAAUACUUUACAUUUUUUAGUAUAUUAUUUUUAUACAUAUCUGUACAUUAAACGUUAACGUUAUGGGUGUCUGUUGCAUAUAUGCAAACGCAUAAUUGAUAUCGAUAUGAACAUCGAUUAUCAUUAGCAUGUAUAUCUGGAACAACUUUAACAUAUUGCUGUUGGAAAAUAAUCCUUUUUAUGCUUCGAAUUAAGGCUAUAGAAGUCACAAAUCGCCGUGGUUCAUUUCUUUGAUAUUUCGAUUUUUAGUGCGGUAUUUUAAGAUGAAACUAUUGUGCAACAUUACACAUUGUAACAUGGUGUACUAAUCUCGGCCAGCUCGAUAAGUAAUAACGGUAGGAACAGAUAUUUCUUUUGUAUGUUUAGUCCUUGAUAUACGUUAUCAUAUUAGCAAGUUUUUAUUUCGGAAGAAUAUAAUUUGACUGUUAUGAAGUCGAUGGAUAUAAUUUCGGUACGUCACAAAGUUUUACCCAAUGUUAGAAGGCGUUUUUCAAUUGUGUUCCUCUAUCUAACCCAACAAACGUGUACAUCUGUACACAUUAUCAAGUGCCUAUCUAUGACGACAAGUCGUGUAUGUUUCACUGAUGAUAUGAUGUGGUGAUAUCAAUGUUUAUCAGUAGCUGUUGACUUCUCUUGAAGUCAUGUCAAAUUUCAGUGUUAGUCGAGCUGGAGAUAGAUAUCGACAUGUUUUAAAGCAUUAAUUGCGAUGCAAACAAUGUACGGAAGUAAUUGUGGUUACCCCAUGCUAACUGAAAUAUGUAUUCAUGCAUUCCAAUAACGACCACUUUCUGUUUGUGAUCGUAUCUUCAAACUUGUGAUUUUAAGAUUUUGAAAUAAUGUUUACUUAAGUGUUUGUUAAAUAUACUCUAAUAUGAAGUCGUUAAUGUCAA
rnacentral:misc_RNA from 1 species